rnacentral:rRNA from 1 species
GACGAACGCUGGCGGCGUGCUUAACACAUGCAAGUCGAACGGAAAGGCCCUGCUUUUGUGGGGUGCUCGAGUGGCGAACGGGUGAGUAACACGUGAGUAACCUGCCCUUGACUUUGGGAUAACUUCAGGAAACUGGGGCUAAUACCGGAUAGGAGCUCCUGCUGCAUGGUGGGGGUUGGAAAGUUUCGGCGGUUGGGGAUGGACUCGCGGCUUAUCAGCUUGUUGGUGGGGUAGUGGCUUACCAAGGCUUUGACGGGUAGCCGGCCUGAGAGGGUGACCGGACAAGCGGGGGUGGAGAUGCCGCGCGGACGGGGGAGGGCGGGAGGGGUGGGGAGGAGGGCGGGGGGGGCGGCGGCCGGAGGCAGCAACGGGGGGGGGGGGAGGAGGGGCGGGGGGCUGAACCCCGCGGGGGGCGGGGACGGUGGGGGGGGGAGGAUGGGGGGGAAAGGAGCACCGGGGAAGGAGGUGACAGCAGCCGCGGUAAGACUAGGAAGAGACUCCGUUUGAAC